AUUCUUGUGGUGUAGUGGUAUAGCAUGCGUUCUCCGGAUAGGAUGAAACGCGGGUUCGAUUUCCGCCUGAGAACG